rnacentral:rRNA from 1 species
UACGUAGGGGGCGAGCGUUAUCCGGAUUUAUUGGGUGUAAAGGGUGCGUAGACGGUUAGGCAAGUUGGUUGUGAAAUCCCUGGGCUCAACUUAGGAACUGCAACCAAAACUGUCAAACUUGAGUGCGGGAGAGGAAAGCGGAAUUCCUAGUGUAGCGGUGAAAUGCGUAGAUAUUAGGAGGAACACCAGUGGCGAAGGCGGCUUUCUGGACCGUAACUGACGUUGAGGCACGAAAGUGUGGGGAGCAAAC